AUGGGAGGUGAGGGCAUGGGAGGUGAGGGCUUGGAGAUACUGAAUGCAGGCAACUCUUUAAGGAAAACUGGUUGUGAAGAGAUUUGGGGGGUGGUUGGGCAGAAGGGGUGCAGUGAUUGGAGAAGCUGGGCUUACGGGAGAGGCUGCUUGUGUGAUUCUUCAGGAUGUUUAACCAGAGAUGGGAAGGAAGGGGUAGAAAAGAGAAGCAGAAGGGUGCCUUUCACCCUUUCCCAAAUGCAGCCACAGUCAGACCUACGUUUCCUGCCGGACCCGGACCCGGGAUACCUACACACAUGGACACACACACACCACACACACACACACACACGAAACCAGGUUCCUGACGCUGGAUGUGACACCCUGAUAUUUUGUCUCCUGUUUUACUUAGGUCAACCGCUGGUCACAACACCCCAAACUGGAUUUGUGUCUCUUGAACACUUCACGAUGGUCCAUUUGACAAACGUGGAGGUAGAAGGUUUGACAGAGAGGAGAGGAGACUGAGGGUCAGAGCGGUGGCCGACUGGCUCCAAGACACGAAGUAAGAUGCAGAGGACAACCCCGGGCGCAGAGCCAGAUGGCGAAGGAAGAAAUGGGGAAGGAGAUAAAGUUGGGCCGCUGCCAUCUGAUUUGUCCACCGCCUGCUCCCCCACACGCCCACCAAACUGGGCUUUCUUCUGUGUUAUAGCCCUUCCU
rnacentral:lncRNA from 1 species